GCGCCUUUCAUAGUCAUUCACGAAUGGGGGAAAUAGGUGCUUCUGGGAACUUCUCUCAUAAUAGAAUUGGUGAGCCAGGAUUUAGGAGCAGCUUUACGCUUCAAGGGUUUCCAGAUGGUGGAGUCUACAUGGGGGACAUGGAGUCAGGUGAAAAUUUUAGAAAGAGAAAGUCAAUGGGCAUGGGGUGGUGUCGUAUCUGUAAAGUUGACUGUGAAACAGUGGAGGGCCUGGAGUUCCACUCUCAAACAAGAGAGCACCAGAAGAUGGCGAUGGAUAUGGUCAUAACAAUCAAGGAAAAUGCAAAAAAACAUAAGUUGUCUACUAGUGAUCAUCCCUCAGUUGAUGAUGUAAGCAAGCCAAGGAAUUCAAACUUUGAGGGCCGCGGUAAAAGGAAUUAAGUCUUGUUGUGCUGCAAUGUGGAUCGCAUCAUUACUUUUGACUGAGGGGGGCUAACUUUGUUCCUUUGGUAUUAUGCGUUUAGCAACAUAGGUGACUCCCCAUUCUAUGCCUCUUUUUUGAUUUCGGGGUGGUUUAUGCUAGUCUUGCCAUUUCAGGUUGCUGCCUUGUUAAUGAAGAUGGUUAUUGGAACUGAAGUUCAGUGGCAAUAUCCUCAAUUCAAAUCCUUCGUCCCUCCUGUCGGCAAAGCAGGCAACAUAAGGGCUAAAAAUUCAGUGGAAAGGUUUACUCAUCAUCCAUAAUAAAUGUGUUUUUGGAAUGCAAAGCCUGCUUCUUCAUUAUGUACUUGCCAGGUUUGUGGUUUAUUCUUGGAUAUAUCUCAUCGUGACCUUGCACUCUAAAGUACUUAUUCUAUUUAGUGAUACUAUUAUUUGCUGGAUCAUCAAGUCUUGUAGCUUGUUGGCUCUAAUGUAUUUGUGCCAUGCAUUUGGGAAAGUAAAUUUAGAUGGUGGUAGAUUUAAAUAAACUACAUGUGUAGUUCAUAAGGAGCCAUGUUGUAUGUGUUGGGUUUAGGAUUUGCCAUCAUUGAUAAAGCUCAAUGCAGUGGUUUCGAAAAAAAGUUGUGGUUAGAUAAGUUUUUUCUGGUGUUAGAUUUUGGGCAUAUAGGACAAGUGUGUUGGGAUGUGAAUUGUUGAGUAGCUUUGCUAUGAAACUAAGCCAGUUUCCUCGAAAAGUUUAGUUCAAUAAGGACUAAUACCAAUUAAUGUGCUGAAAACAAGAAGAGUUAGUUGAACCUUGGUUAGAAAAUACUAGAGGACUCAAAACAGCUGUGAUUCUAAAUGGACUGGUACUUCUUUGUUAAUCCAUGUUAACUCUUAAGACUUUUUCCCCAUGCUAUGCAAGUAUUAUAGAUUUUCUAGAAUUUUUUAUUAGGCAAAA